UACGAAGGGGGCUAGUGUUGCUCGGAAUCACUGGGCGUAAAGGGUGCGUAGGCGGGUCUUUAAGUCAGGGGUGAAAUCCUGGAGCUCAACUCCAGAACUGCCUUUGAUACUGAGGAUCUUGAGUUCGGGAGAGGCGAGUGGAACUGCGAGUGUAGAGGUGAAAUUCGUAGAUAUUCGCAAGAACACCAGUGGCGAAGGCGGCUCACUGGCCCGAUACUGACGCUGAGGCACGAAAGCGUGGGGAGCAAACAGG
rnacentral:rRNA from 1 species